rnacentral:lncRNA from 1 species
AAUGUGACAGCUUCGUCUGCCCCUAAGUUACACUGAGAGACGAGACGAGACACAUCAUAAGUUACUUUAAAAUAUCAAAACAAAUUGAGAUUAGAAUUUUUAGUUCCUAAUCAGCACAAGUCACCGAGAUGAUGUCACAGCGCACUCGACCGGAUCCGGCUCACGCUCAAAUAAAUAUGAUGACCUUUCUACCAUUAUCUUUUUGGCUAGCUCUCUUUUAUAAGCUCUUUCGUAUGUGAGUGUGUCGUACUACUCAACGCACAUAUUUCCAUUAGAUUAUUUUUCCCCUGUGCCAAUCGAUUUUUAUACUUUCAGGGCGGAUGCCACAGAGAUCGAAUUACACUUUACAUCCGCGCACCAAUAAAUCCUAGAUUGCUUCCUCGUCAAACUGACAUCGUUUUUUACACACAGAGAUUCCAUCCUUUUUUUUUGUGUGUGUGUUAGAUCCUGGGGUCCUGAUAUUCCCCCCCCCCCUGUCUACUUAAAUCCUGUCCCUUCCUUUUGUGACAUGGUACACACACGGCACAACCCCACCAACAGUGAGGGUUUUAAUCCAAACAAUAGAGCAAAGAUAGUAGACACAACAAACACACACACAAGGACGUAGGCGGUGGUCGGUAUAUACGCUGAGUGAAAACGUGCCGUGUCACGUGACUGCCGAAAUCGAACGUCGUUCGCUUUUGUUUGCCCACUUUCCCACCUUAAGAGACAACCAAACAAGGAGGUAACAACUUCUACUAAACCCCUUGCCACAAGAUAGGAGCUAGGCAAUCCCAACCCGAAAUAAUCCGCUCGCAUUGUUCUUUCAGAUAACAUUCAAGAUGACUUUUUAUUGACUGAAGAGAAGAUAAAAGAGGGGAAAGAGUAACUUAAAAGUAAAUAGGUAAAAGUUGUUUUAUAUGUACACACGCAAGUUUGUUUGGUUUUUUUUCUAAGUGAUAUUACCAGUAAGGAUAAGUAGUAGUAGUAGUGCUAGUUAAUAAUAAAAUAAAAAGUUUUCAAAUAAAAGACAUUAUUUUUACAAUGGGAGGAAAAGAUGUAUCGGAACAAAAACCCAGUCACAACACAAAUACACACAAAAUGAGAGAAAACCAUCGGUGUUGUUAUUUUUCAUUAAAUCGCAUAUUUUUGUUUUAUAAAGGAGAAAAAGAAAAACGGGGAGGAACAAUCGAUUAGAAGCUUUCGUCCGAAUCAGCACACACUUUUAUAGGAAAAAGAGUGGAUGACGGUUUUAAAGGUUAGAGGUGGUUUGUUAUUUUGUUUGGGAACAAGGAGGGUGAAAACACACACACACACACAGCAAUCCAAUCACUGCACCCUCAACAUUCGUCGACACACAUGCUACACAAAAUCUUUGUUUACGUUUGAUUAAUUACACAAUACUUAACACGGCUCCCCUAAUAAAAAACGAUAAACGGUUGCUUAUAACUAGAUCAUUCUUAUAAGAUUUUUUUAAAAAGAAGAAACAAUUUUUUUUUCUUUUGUGUGAGUUUUGUUUACAAGAAGAUAUUGCAUCAAUAUUUAGUAUACGUUUUUUUGUUCUCUUCCCUUUUUUCAAGUUUUUUGGGGAACUAAAAAGAAGGGUAGAGAAGAGAGACACACGAGGAACCUAAACCCGGCCCUUUGAGGAACACGAAAAACUGUUACCAUUCCAAAAAUGUAAAAGGGAAAAGAUAUGGUUAUGUUUGGGGGGGGGGGGAGCACUAAAAAGAAAAUUAUAAAGAGGGAGAGUGACAACUGUUAGCUCAAUUAGGAGUACAGAGUAGAAGG